UAAAAGCAUUUUAAAGCUUACAAGAUGUACACUGAAUGUGUAUUCGACUAAUUUGUAAUUUAGUACGCUUCGCAUUAUACCACGAGGGAACGCUGUGGUGGCGUCAUCACAUACAUUCAUCGGGUGAGCAUGGCGGCUAAACAUCGAAGAGGCCCAGUGUAAACAAACUCGUACAACGAGCUUGCAGUGCGCGACGUAGUGAUCAGGCUCGACGAUGACCACUAUUUCUUGGAUAGUUCUGUUCCUCCGUGAGCAAUCUUUCCGUGCACCCCGAAAGACUGCGAAUAGCUUAGGCGAUUUUACAGAUCGCAACGCGUACUUACUGUUCACGGCACAAUCCUGAACAAACAACUUAUCCGGUGCUGCUUCUGUGAGUGCGCUGAGUUCCUCCACUCUGCGUGACUGCGAGCGUCACGAAUAUUGCAUAGUGUGUGCAAAAGGAAGACAGCCGAUAUAGCUACGAUGCGACAAGGAGGUGGUGCCGACGAUGGAUCUCGCAACCAACACAGUGACGGAGGCAUCGACAAACUGCAGAUAACAAAACAUUCUGCUGCUGGAGGCACUCAACCGGCCGGUGGCAGUAGGCGAGCGCCAGGCACAUGCUCUUGAGAGUGUGGCAAGGUCCAGAGGGCUGCUCUGCAACAGUAGGAUCAGUGCACUCACUGCUUUCCAGUCGAGCCCCCAGAACACACCUUAUAAAGGAGCUUUCAGUUUAUUAUUUUGUUUAUUAUUCAAGAGCAUGAAUAAAAUUAUUGCAGUAAACAUUGUGCUGUGCAUAUUGGGACACUUGUAACAUGCACUUUGUGUCUCUUCAAAAUGGGCAAACAGAUAAGACAACCUGGACCGUGUAAAUGAAAAAGACACUAAUGCAGCAUAUACGUCAUUGUGCUGUUUGUUCUUUCUAUGUGCAAGAAUACAGUGGGUGUUGAUUAGCCACAAGAUGAACGGUGUGUGUAUUUCACAAUGAAAAGACAGGAAACGGCAUGACCUUAAUAAUGCAAUCACCUAUAGACUGUGCACAUGAAUGCAACACUCCCCGAUUUAAACGUGCCAUUACAUGCAUGUUCGAUACCACAUAUUCUUUAACAAUGUCAUAUAUUUGCAUGUACUAAUUUUCACACAGCUUAAGCGCAUGCAUAGCUCACUUGUGAUGUAUCCAUUUCAUAGGCCAAAUAAUUGUACACUUUGUCCUUUUGUGUUGUAUGAAAAGCGGCAUCCUCUAGUCGGAUACAACUUCACAAGACAGGAGAGGCCCCGCCCAGAUGACCAAAGCGCAGCAGCCGAUUGCCUCCACAUAGUCCCUCUCUAAAGAGCGGGUAUUAGUGCGUCCAGCGGCACGACGUCAGUGUAGAGUGUGUGCCCAUUGG